AUAAUACUCCCUUCGUCCGAAAAUACUUGUCAUCAAAAUGGGCAAAAGAGAAUGUAUCUAGAACUAAAAUAUAUCUAAACAUAUCCCCUUUUAUUUAUGUUGAUGACAAAUAUUUCCGGACGGAGGGAGUAUUUG
rfam:Triticum aestivum genome assembly, contig: Triticum_aestivum_CS42_TGACv1_scaffold_130081_2BL